rnacentral:misc_RNA from 1 species
UCCUUCUUAUCGAAGGCAGUUUCCGAAGAGUGCAUCCCUUGCGGGAUUAGCAACAUGGGACGAGGGUUGCGCUCGUUGCGGGACUUAACCCAACAUCUCACGACACGAGCUGACGACAACCAUGCAGCACCUGUAUACCGACCACAAGGGGGGCCGUAUCUCUACGGCUUUCCGGUAUAUGUCAAACCCAGGUAAGGUUCUUCGCGUUGCAUCGAAUUAAUCCACAUGCUCCGCCGCUUGUGCGGGCCCCCGUCAAUUCCUUUGAGUUUUAAUCUUGCGACCGUACUCCCCAGGCGGGGUGCUUAAUGCGUUAGCUGCGCCACCAAAAAGCAAGCUUCCUGACGGCUAGCACCCAUAGUUUACGGCGUGGACUAC